GGGCCCGUAGCUUAGUCCGGUUAGAGCGCCCGGCUCAUAACCGGGUGGUCGAGGGUUCGAAUCCCUCCGGGCCCA
rnacentral:tRNA from 2 species